ensembl:misc_RNA Metazoa_SRP Metazoan signal recognition particle RNA
GCCAGGUGUGGUGGCGGGCGCCUGUAGUCCCAGCUACUUGGGAGGCUGAGGCAGAAGAAUCGCUUGAACUCGGGAGGCGGAGCUUGCAGUGAGCCAAGAUCGCGCCACUGCACUCCACCCUGGGUGACAGAGCGAGACUCUGUCUCCA